GAGAUACUAGUAUAGUUUAAAUACACUGCUUUGUCAAGGCAGAACGGUGGGUUAAACCCCCACGUAUCUUU
rnacentral:tRNA from 1 species